rnacentral:rRNA from 1 species
GAUGAACGCUGACAGAAUGCUUAACACAUGCAAGUCUACUUGAAUUUGGGUUUUUUAACUUAGAUUUGGGUGGCGGACGGGUGAGUAACGCGUAAAGAACUUGCCUCACAGCUAGGGACAACAUUUGGAAACGAAUGCUAAUACCUGAUAUUAUGAUUUUAAGGCAUCUUAGAAUUACGAAAGCUAUACGCGCUGUGAGAGAGCUUUGCGUCCCAUUAGCUAGUUGGAGAGGUAACGGCUCACCAAGGCGAUGAUGGGUAGCCGGCCUGAGAGGGUGAACGGCCACAAGGGGACUGAGACACGGCCCUUACUCCUACGGGAGGCAGCAGUGGGGAAUAUUGGACAAUGGACCAAGAGUCUGAUCCAGCAAUUCUGUGUGCACGAUGACGUUUUUCGGAAUGUAAAGUGCUUUCAGUUGGGAAGAAAAAAAUGACGGUACCAACAGAAGAAG